GAUGAACGCUGGCGGCGUGCCUAACACAUGCAAGUCGUACGAGCUCGAUCUUCGGAACGGGUUAGUGGCGCACGGGUGAGUAACACGUAGGUGACCUACCCCAGAGUGGGGGAUAACUUCUCGAAAGAGAGGCUAAUACCGCAUACACUCGGUCAUUCAUUUGGCCGAGCAAAGCUUCGGCGCUUUGGGACGGGCCUGCGUCCGAUUAGCUAGUUGGUAGGGUAAUGGCUUACCAAGGCUUUGAUCGGUAGCUGGUCUGAGAGGACGAUCAGCCACACUGGCACUGACACACGGGCCAGACUCCUACGGGAGGCAGCAGUGAGGAAUAUUGGGCAAUGGGCGAAAGCCUGACCCAGCAACGCCGCGUGAGGGAUGAAGGCCUUCGGGUUGUAAACCUCUUUCUGGGAGAAGAGACAAGGACGGUAUCCCAGGAAUAAGUACUCGGCUAACUACGUGCCAGCAGCCGCGGUAAU
rnacentral:rRNA from 1 species